rnacentral:lncRNA from 1 species
AAAAAAAGCAAAAACAAAACAAAAAUCAAAACCCUGUUCAUCUUCUCCUUCUCCUUCCCACACCACCACUUCCGCCGCUCUCCUCCACCAACUUUGCCACCUUUCUCGCCAACAUCUCCUCCCUAAUUCUUCCUUCCUCUUCCUCACACUCCAACAAACCCAUUUCUCAUAAGCUCAUCACCAUCAUCAUCUCCAUCACCCUCCUCUCAACUGCCCUCUUCGCCACUUUCCAUCUCUUUCUCUAUCAUCUACACCUCCCAAUAAAAUAGACAGCCUUUGUCUGGUCCCUCCCCAUACUACCCCACUGACACCACCUCCACUUGUCCUCUUAGACUUCAUCGCUGACACCGCCUACACAAAACAAAACAAGCCAAUAGCACACAAUAUUUAUAGUUAAUUUCUUGGUGGAUGUAAGGCAAAAACUUGAAUAAUUGAUUCCAAAUUUUGUAAUAUACAGAUUAUUACAAGGGCAGAGCUGGCGACAGCAACUGAAGUUUACCCUCUACCACGAACAAUACAAGUCUGGAAUACGCUAAUGAACUGGCUCGCCUUCUUUCAGAUCCACGGAGGCACCCUUCAGGUCCUCUCUCCUUCCACCUUUCGACUCCUCAGACACCGUCGUAAUUCAAGGCUUUACCGAUUGCUGAGUUAUCUUAGUUUCAAGAAGAAUCUGAAGAGACUCUACCUCUACCUCUACCUCCCACUGAGUGACAAAUGCUUCGCCCUUUGAGAAGAUGAACAGGAUUUUGAUUUUUUUAAAUUUUAAUUCAAAAUUAACAUUUCACCCGUUUAAAAUUGGUCAAAGUCAAUUUAUUGGGUGAAUUAACGGUUAAACUAACAAAAAUCAUCCAUUUGGACCCCAAGUGCUAAUUUUUGAAAGGUUUGGGAUUGUGGGUUACACAAAAUGAAAGUUAAGGUAAAGUCUGCAAAAAAAGUGAUAGGUUUGGGACCAUUGCUACAAUUAUCACUAGGAGAUAUCAAAAUGCAUAUUUAUAUAGUGAAAUACAAUUAGAGAUGAAGGUGCACUAACCUGAGUUUUCAUCAAAUCCUUCAACUUGAGAAGCUUCUCAUGAAAAUGAUUCAAAGUUGUCUGCUCAUCUUUGUUAAUGUAUUUAUCCUUGGACAAAUC